ACUGGAACAUCCUCGCCUGCUUUCUGCGAUGUCUGUUUUCAGUCAGAAGUCGAAGCCUGUCAGAUGGAGUCAGGAGAUGAGUGCCAGUCAGAACAUCGUUGACAGCAGCAAGAAGAAGACCAGUCUGCUGAAAGACAACUGCUGGAUCAGACGCAGCAUGGAGGAGGAGGAGGAGCUAGUGGACCUGSAGUCGGAGGUGGGCCAGCCCGUCCCUGCCAGCCCCAGCACCCCAGUCAACCAUCUGACCAAGAGCCCUCCACUUCCUCCGAAGACCAAGACUGUGUCCUUCGUUUUAAGGUAAAGAGGUCAAAAUUCYAACUCAGGGGACUAAAAUUGUACCAAACUCAGAAAAAACUGUCAGACCCUCCUAAUAGUGUACUCAACCGUGACUGUCUUCCCUCUCCUCCCAGCACCACCUCAAAGAGCAUGAAAGAUCCCAAGACUGCCAUGAGUCCUGGGAGCACCUCCCCAAAGUCCCUAAACUCCCCAAAGUCCCUAAACUCCCCAAAGUCCCUAAACUCCCCAAAAAGCUCAUCACUGAAGAGCCCAUCCAUUUCCCUCUUUACUGCAAGGGUCUUUUCCUCACCAAAAAAACUAUUCUACUCCCCACUAAGCCCUCCAGAGGUACUCCCCCACACCAUUACCCACAUCACUGAUGAAGAGCCCCCGGCAGUCCCAACAACUCCACCACCUCCAACAACUCUACCACCACCACCUUCUCCAACAACUCUACCACCACCACCUCCUCCAACAACUCUACCACCACCACCGCCCACCAUCUCCAACAACUCUAACCACACCACCCUCCUCCAACAACUCUACCACCACCACCACCUCCUCCAACAACUCUACCACCACCACCACCUCCUCCAACACUCUACCACAACCACCUCCCCAACAACUCUACCACCACCACCUCCUCCAACAACUCUACCACCACCAACCCUCCUCCACAACUCUACCACCACCACCUCCUCCAACACCCACCACCAACAACUCCACCUCAUCCACCACCACCUCCAACAACAACUCCACCACCACCUCCAACAACUCCACCUCCAACAACAACUCCACCACCACCACCUCCAACAACUCCACCACCACCACCUCCAACAACUCCACCACCACCACCAACAACUCCAAUGCCCCAAGUUUCAAUCAGUGAGAUCAGGAGUGUGACCAAGGGCCUGUGUUCGUACUGCUGUCAACCGAUGGUGGCUGGAGCCAACAAUCCUGGAGGAUCUACAGAUCUACAGCCACCAUCCUGCUUCAAGGUAAAGCAACACACCAGUCUAUUCAACAUAUAUCUAUGUGUGUCCCAAUUGCCUCUCCUAAGCUCUUUAAACUGCACUACUUCAGACCAGGCCCAAUGGAUCCUAUAGGCUCUGGUCAAAAGUAGUGCACUAUAUAGGGAAUAGUGUGGCAUUUUCACACACCACAGUACGUCUCACAUGUCACACGUCUAUCUAUUCAACACACAUCUACAGAACGUCUACAUGUCUAUCUAUCAAAACACAUCUACAGGACGUCACGUCUAUCUAUUCAACACACAUCUACAGUACAUCUACACUCUAUCUAUCAACACACACUACAGAACAUCUACACAUCUAUCUAGUCAACACAAUCUACAGAAGGUCUACACGUCAUCUAUUCAACACACAUCUACAGUACGUCUAUCUAUUCAACACAUUACAGGACGUCUAUCUAUUCACACACAUCUACAGGACAGGACGUCUACACGUCUAUCUAUUCAACACACAUCUACAGAACUCGCUACACGUCUAUCUAUUCAACACACACAUCUACAGGACGUCUACACGUCUACUACAGGAAGUCCACACAUCUAUCUAUUCAAACACACAUCUACAGGACGUCUACACGUCAUCUAUUCAAAACACAUCUACAGGAAGUCACACAUCUUCCACAUAGUUGUGCUGUAGUGAUAACUGGAUAUGCCCUCUAGAUGUGUAUCAUGUGUGCAGUCAGGCAGGCAGUCAGUCAUCAGUAGGCAGGCAGUCAGUCAAUCAGUUGGCAGUCAGUCAGUCAAUCAGUUGGCAGUCAGUCAGUCAGUCAAUCAGUAGGCAGGCAGUCAGUAAUCAGUUGGCAGUCAGUCAGUCAAUCAGUUGGCGUCAGUCAGUCAGUCAAUCAGUUGGCAGUCAGUCAGUCAGUCAUUUGGCAGUCCAGUCAGUCAAUCAGUUGGCAGUCAGUCAGUCAAUC
rnacentral:lncRNA from 1 species